rnacentral:rRNA from 1 species
GAUGAACGCUGGCGGCGUGCCUAAUACAUGCAAGUCGAGCGAAUGGAUUAAGAGCUUGCUCUUAUGAAGUUAGCGGCGGACGGGUGAGUAACACGUGGGUAACCUGCCCAUAAGACUGGGAUAACUCCGGGAAACCGGGGCUAAUACCGGAUAACAUUUUGAACCGCAUGGUUCAAAAUUGAAAGGCGGCUUCGGCUGUCACUUAUUGAUGGACCCGCGUCGCAUUAGCUAGUUGGUGAGGUAACGGCUCACCAAGGCAACGAUGCGUAGCCGACCUGAGAGGGUGAUCGGCCACACCGGAACUGAGACACGGCCCAGACUCCUACGGGAGGCAGCAGUAGGGAAUCUUCCGCAAUGGACGAAAGUCUGACGGAGCAACGCCGCGUGAGUGAUGAAGGCUUUCGGGUCGUAAAACUCUGUUGUUAGGGAAGAACAAGUGCUAGUUGAAUAAGCCGGCACCUUGACGGUACCUAACCAGAAAGCCACGGCUAACUACGUGCCAGCCGCCGCCGUAAUAC